rnacentral:rRNA from 1 species
GACGAACGCUGGCGGCGUGCUUAACACAUGCAAGUCGAACGUAAAGGCCCUGCUUUUGUGGGGUGCUCGAGUGGCGAACGGGUGAGUAACACGUGAGUAACCUGCCCUUGACUUUGGGAUAACUUCAGGAAACUGGGGCUAAUACCGGAUAGGAGCUCCUGCUGCAUGGUGGGGGUUGGAAAGUUUCGGCGGUUGGGGAUGGACUCGCGGCUUAUCAGCUUGUUGGUGGGGUAGUGGCUUACCAAGGCUUUGACGGGUAGCCGGCCUGAGAGGGUGGCCGGCCACAUUGGGACUGAGAUACGGCCCAGACGCCUACGGGAGGCAGCAGUGGGGAAUAUUGCACAAUGGGCGGAAGCCUGAUGCAGCAACGCCGCGUGCGGGAUGACGGCCUUCGGGUUGUAAACCGCUUUCGCCUGUGACGAAGCGUGAGUGACGGUAAUGGGUAAAGAAACACCGGCUAACUACGUG